UGAUCAAGAGGGUCCACACCUCCUUGGAGAU
rnacentral:piRNA from 1 species